rnacentral:lncRNA from 1 species
AGUCCGGGUCUAUAGGUUAACCUAAUUAAUUCUAAUCAAUCAAUUUGGUGUCUAAGGCAAGUAUUAGAUGAUGGUUAUUUAAUUGGUUCCAUUGUCUGACCUGGCCAAUUCAUUGGUGUUGGGUAUAAAAUAUCCCCAGCCAAAGUUCGUGAAAGGCCGACCCUCCAUGGGCUCUUCCAGCUUCCGACCUUGUGCAAUGUCUUUCUGAACUCCCCCGGCUGUCCGAGCUUCCAUAAUACCAUCCGGACUUCUCUGAUAAUGAGCUCCUCCAUCCAUCUACCGGACUGCUCCAAAUGCUCUCUGGGCUUCAUUAUCAGCCGACUUUCUACAGUGAUUGGCUACCCUCUGAAUCUCUUCCAGACUUCCUCUUGCCAUGAGCAACUUUACUCCGAACUUCUUUCGGACUUCAUCAAUGUCCGAGCUUCUCCAACAGUAGAACUUCUACAGUAACCAGACUUCAUCCAAGUUUCUAUAGUGGUCAACCAUCUUUCGAAUUUCAUCCGGGCUCCUACAAGAGCCGGAUCCCAGCCGAACUUCUACAGUAGAUGGAUUCCAGACGAAUUUCUAUAACGGACAGGCUCCACCAGUCGAAUCUCUACUCCGAACUUCUUUCAAACUUUGUCAAUGAUUGGGC